rnacentral:rRNA from 1 species
UAAAACAUAGCGUUAAUGCAUUGGAUCCCAUUAGAACUAUGCAUUUAAGCAUGAUCAGGCUAGAGUAGUAUUGGGAUGGGUGACUACCCAAGAAGUCCUAUUGUUUUAC